UACGGAGGAUCCAAGCGUUAUCCGGAUUCAUUGGGUUUAAAGAGCUCGUAGGCGGUUCAGUAAGUCGGGUGUGAAAACUCUGGGCUCAACCCAGAGACGCCACCCGAUACUGCUGUGACUUGAGUACGGUAGGGGAGUGGGGAAUUCCUGGUGUAGCGGUGAAAUGCGCAGAUAUCAGGAGGAACACCAGUGGCGAAGGCGCCACUCUGGGCCGUAACUGACGCUGAGGAGCGAAAGCGUGGGUAGCAAACAGG
rnacentral:rRNA from 1 species